UACGAAGGGGGCUAGCGUUGCUCGGAAUCACUGGGCGUAAAGCGCACGUAGGCGGCUUCUUAAGUCAGGGGUGAAAGCCUGGAGCUCAACUCCAGAACUGCCUUUGAUACUGAGGAGCUUGAGUCCGGGAGAGGUGAGUGGAACUGCGAGUGUAGAGGUGAAAUUCGUAGAUAUUCGCAAGAACACCAGUGGCGAAGGCGGCUCACUGGCCCGGUACUGACGCUGAGGUGCGAAAGCGUGGGGAGCA
rnacentral:rRNA from 1 species